rnacentral:rRNA from 1 species
GAUGAACGCUGGCGGCGUGCCUAAUACAUGCAAGUCGAGCGAAUGGAUUAAGAGCUUGCUCUUAUGAAGUUAGCGGCGGACGGGUGAGUAACACGUGGGUAACCUGCCCAUAACACUAGGAUAACUCCGGGAAACCGGGGCUAAUACCGGAUAACAUUUUGAACCGCAUGGUUCGAAAUUGAAAGGCGGAUUCGGCGGUCACUGAUGGAUGGACCCGCGUCGCAUUAGCUAGUUGGUGAGGUAACGGCUCACCAAGGCAACGAGGCGUAGCCGACCUGAGAGGGUGAUCGGCCACACUGGGACUGAGACACGGCCCAGACUCCUACGGGAGGCAGCAGUAGGGAAUCUUCCGCAAUGGACGAAAGUCUGACGGAGCAACGCCGCGUGAGUGAUGAAGGCUUUCGGGUCGUAAAACUCUGUUGUUAGGGAAGAACAAGUGCCAGUUGAAUAAGCUGGCACCUUGACGGUACCUAACCAGAAAGCCACGGCUAACUACGUGCCAGCCGCCGCCGUAA